UUGCUGCCAAGCAACCAAAUUCUUAAGGCCUAUUCAAUAAUGGUACAGCCUUAUUGAAAAAGGAUACAACCUCAACUUUAGGUUAAUGAUUAAAUUCUCAUAAACAUGUGAGCAAAGUAGGCCUAAAAGCAGCCAUCUUCCAAAAAGCGUCCAAGCUUCACCUUCCAUUAUACCAAUUCAACUACAUAAUCAAAACCCAAUACCCGUACUGAGCUACUCUAUAAUAUUAUAGAAGAAAUUAUGUUAGAACUAGUAACACAGAAUAUUUUCUCUUACAUGCAAGCGUAAAUCAAACUGAAUACCUCAUCGAUAAUUACACAGAAUUGAAUUUAAUGUAACAACAGCACUAGAAAACCUUACCAACAGAUCUGUUAACCUAACACAAGGGCAUGAAAGAAAGAUUGCAAGACAAGGAAGGAACUCGGCAAACACUAGUUCCGCCUGUUUACCAAAAACAUCGCCUUUUGACCAUUAUAAGAGGCAACGCCUGCCCAGUGACAUCGUUCAACGGCCGCGGUAUUUUAACCGUGCGAAGGUAGCGCAAUCACUUGUUUUUUAAAUAAAGACUAGAAUGAACGGCAUCACGAGAACUAAACUGUCUCCCCCAUCUAAUCAGUGAAACUGAUCUCCCCGUGCAGAAGCGGGGAUAAAAUCAUAAGACGAGAAGACCCUAUGGAGCUUAAAAUCAAAAACCAACUGUUAGACUAUUAAAAGGAAACAACAACACAGUAUUGGUCUAGGUUUUUAGCUGGGGCGUCUACGGAGUAAAAACAACCCUCCGCGAAGAAAAAUGCCGAGAGUAACCACUCCAAGCAUUAAUACAUUUUACUUAAAUUGACCCAAUUUUUGAUCAACGGACCAAGUUACCCCAGGGAUAACAGCGCAAUCCACUUCUAGAGUCCCUAUCGACAAGUGGGCUUACGACCUCGAUGUUGGAUCAGGGCACCCA
rnacentral:rRNA from 1 species